rnacentral:rRNA from 1 species
GAUGAACGCUGGCGGCGUGCCUAAUACAUGCAAGUCGAACGAAACUUCUUUAUCACCGAGUGCUUGCACUCACCGAUAAAGAGUUGAGUGGCGAACGGGUGAGUAACACGUGGGCAACCUGCCCAAAAGAGGGGGAUAACACUUGGAAACAGGUGCUAAUACCGCAUAACCAUAGUUACCGCAUGGUAACUAUGUAAAAGGUGGCUAUACUACCGCUUUUGGAUGGGCCCGCGGCGCAUUAGCUAGUUGGUAGGGUAAAGGCUUACCAAGGCAAUGAUGCGUAGCCGAAUUGAGAGGUUGAUCGGCCACAUUGGGACCGAGACACGGCCCAAACUCCUACGGGAGGCAGCAGUAGGGAAUCUUCCACAAUGGGCGAAAGCCUGAUGGAGCAACGCCGCGUGGGUGAAGAAGGUCUUCGGAUCGUAAAACCCUGUUGUUAGAGAAGAAAGUGCGUGAGAGUAACUGUUCACGUUUCGACGGUAUCUAACCAGAAAGCCACGGCUAACUACGUG